GGCCCCGUAGCUCAGCUGGAUAGAGCAACCGCCUCCUAAGCGGUAGGCCGGGCGUUCGAAUCGCCCCGGGGCCACCA
rnacentral:tRNA from 1 species